CCAGCGAGAGAGCGUUGCCGCAGGCAACGACCCGAAGGGCGAAGCGCGCAGCGCUGAGUAAUCCUUCCCCCACCACCA
rnacentral:sRNA from 1 species